rnacentral:rRNA from 1 species
CAAACCCGCUGAAUUUAAGCAUAUAAGUAAGCGGAGGAAAAGAAACUAAAUAGGAUUCCCUUAGUAAUGGCGAAUGAACAGGGAUCAGCUCAGGAUGGAAAUCGGGGCCCCGCGGCCUUGAAUUGUAAUCUGGAGAUGCACCACCAACUGGGGCACAGAUGUAAGCCUCUUGGAAAAGAGCAUCAGUGAGGGUGAGAAUCCCGCAUGGCAUCUGUAGUCCUCAGUGUACGGUGUGCAUUCUAAGAGUCACACUCCUCGGGACUGGAGUGCAAAUUGGGUGGUAAAUUUCAUCUAAAGCUAAAUAUUUGUUCGAGACCGAUAGCAAACAAGUACCAUGAGGGAAAGAUGAAAAGGACUUUGAGAAGAGAGUUAAAAGUGCCUGAAAUUGCUGAAAGAGAAGCGAAUGGAACCAGUGAACCUUGGCAAGAUUGUCAUAUGCCAGCGGGAUUGCUCGCAGCUCCACCGCAAGGGUUGCUGUGGGUUUUGAUCGUGACGUGUGUGGUGUUUCUUGCCUUGCCCGUCAACAUUAGUUCACGGCUGAGGAAAACUUCAGGGACAUGGUAGCCUGGCCCCGGUUGGGUGAAUGUGCCUGUCGGAACUCAUCUGUGGUCUAACUGUUGAUCAAAUGGUUCCAUCCGACCCGUCUUGAAACACGGACCAAGGAGUCUAACAUAUGUGCAAGUUCUCGGGUGGUUAAACCUGCUUGCGAAAUGAAAGUGACUGCUGGGAUCUUUGCACCAGCAACCGACCAAUCAAUUGAGAGAGGUUUGAGUAUGAGCAUAUCUGUUAGGACCCGAAAGAUGGUGAACUAUGCCUGUGAAGGGCAAACUCAGAGGAAACUCUGAUGGAGGCUCGUAGCGAUACUGACGUGCAAAUCGUUCGUCAUACAUGGGUAUAGGGGCGAAAGACUAAUCGAACCAUCUAGUAGCUGGUUCCCUCCGAAGUUUCCCUCAGGAUAGCUGGAGUUGAACAGUUUUAUCAGGUAAAGCGAAUGAUUAGAGAGGAGGGGUCGAAU